rnacentral:misc_RNA from 1 species
AUUAAGUGGAGAAAACAAAGUAAUAUCUAUAAAAUGAAGAGGAAUUUUAAUCAUUUACCCAAAUUACAAACUGCACAACAAUUUUUAUUUUUGUAGCUUUCUGGACAUGCUCUAGUAAAAGCUUUUUGGACUCAUUUUUCUUUGAAAUUUUUAUCCUCCAUAUUAGUUUUAUGUACAAUCAUUUUGUGGGGUCAAAAUAGGUUAACACAUAUAGUACAUAUGGAAAAAAAAAAAGUUUAGUGGGGUCAUUUGACUUCACUUCAUAAUAUGAGGCGCCGCCACUGCUUGUAGAGCUUAGAAAAAUAACAGAAUUGAUG